GAACUCUAGCCUAAGAACCUCCAUAUGCCACAGGUUUGGCCCUAAAAAGACAAAAAAAAAAAAAAAGAAAAGAAAUACUUUCUCACAAUAUAUAAGUUCUCUUUUUCAUUGUUGUCUAUGUGAGCAUGUGAGAUAACAGAAAAUAUACAUAUUGGUCUCUGCUCCUGGUCCCUGGAACAGAGCUCCUGAAACCUUUGUAAAUACCUAAGUGACAAGAGUACUGGAGCAUAUUUUGAGCUAAUAUUUGUUCUUUGACCCUGGUUUCUGACACAGUGCUCCUAAAUCUCUUGCAAUUUCCUGAGUAAUAGGGGCAACUUUUGUUCUAAUGAGGUGAUUUUUGAUGGGCUCCUAGAUGGGAGCUGGUCUCCAGCAAGACCAAGCCAGCAUCAGAAGCCUGGAAUUCAUCCCCAUCCCCCAUUCUCUGGAGAGAGGAGAGGUGCUGGAAGUGGAAUUAGUGAUUGAUCAGGCCUAUGUAAUGAAGCCUCCAUAAGAAUCCCCAGUGGACAGGGUCUGGAGCAUUUCCAGAGAGGAUGUGGGAGGCUCCACACCCCCUUCCCACAACCUUCCCUGAGCAUCUCUUUCAUCCAGAUGUUGAUCAGUAUCUUUUAUCAUGUCUUUUUAUUAAAAGCUGGUGAACAGUAAGUAAACUAUUUUCUCGAGUUCUGCAAGUCAUUCUAGCAAAGUAAUUUAACUUAAGGGGGAGUCACAGAAACCUCUGACUUGUAGCUGAUUGGUCAGAAGCACAUGUAACAACCUGUACUUGUGAUUGGCCUUGAAGGGCACAGGGGCAGGCAGUCUUGUGGGACUGACCCCUUAACCUGUAUCUCUAGGUAGAUAGCAUCGGAAUUGGGUUAAAUUGCAGGACACCCAGCUGGUGUCAUGGAAUCAUUUGGUAUGGGGAAAACCCCCACCUAGGUGUCAGAAGUGUUGUUAUUGUGAUAGUAGUGUGAAAGUAAAGGAGAAACCCAGGAGGACUGAAGUUUUUCCUACUAUAGAGCAAUAUUGAAUCUAUCUAAGAAUCUCUUAGUCUCCUUCCCAUUUCCCCUAGUACCAAACUUGAGGCAAAUCCUUUUAUUUCUAGUUAAAAUUUGCAUAUGACAAUCAGGGCUUUUCUUUAUAAUUAUUAUUUUUGGUGUUUUUGUCCUUUUAGGGACGCACCCGCAGCAUAUGGAGGUUCCCAGCCUAGGGGUCUAAUCAGAGCUCAGCAACGCCAGAUCCGAGCCAUGUCUGUGAUCUGCACCACAGCUCACAGCAAUGCUGGAUCCUUAACCCACUGAGCGAGGCCAGGGAUCAAACCCACAACCUCAUGGUUCCUAGUUGGAUUUGCUUCCUCUGCGCCAAGACGGGAACUCCAAUCAGAGCUUUCCUGCUUCUCAACUACUCGUCUACCUCACUUACCUAAUCUCUCCUCGUUGUUAGUUUUACUAUAUUUACCAAGUUGCCAAGAAAUCUGGAAACAUAAAUGAAUACACAUUAAUAGUUUGGUGAUAUUAUAUUUCAAUACACACUAAAGUAGUAGUAUCUUUUUCCAGACUUUAUGGCUACCCUAUAUAUUAAUCAAAGUACAUAGCUAUCAUAUACUACUUUCCAUUAGAACCAUUGUUUAUUCUUAAUUAUGCAAGUAAACAUAAAUUUACCUCCACUAGUGAUAUUGUUGUCUCUUCAGUCAUUGUGGUUAUCUACAGCUUGUUCUCUAGUUUCCUCAGGAAAUGUUUUUAUCAAGAAUAUUCUUUUUUUAUGGGAUAUAAGAGGGGAGACAUAAUAGCAGUCUCCAAUAGAGGGAGCCUUAGGUUCCUCACAGGAAAGAAAAUAGAUCAGAAAUUUGUAAUCUAUAGAGAAAUUUUAAAUAGCUUUUGGAGUUCCCGUUGUGGCUCAGUGGAAACAAACCUGACUAAUAUCCAUGACGAUACGGGUUUGAGUGCUGACCUCACUCAGUGGGUUAAGGCUCCGGCGUUGCCAUGAGCUAUGGUGCAGUUUGCAGUCGUGGCGUGGAUCUGGCAUUGCUAUGGCUGUGGUGUAGGCCAGCAGCUGCAUCUCCAAUUUGACCCUUAGCCUGGGAACUUCCACAUGCCGCACCUGUGGCCUGAAAGUAAAUAAAUAAAUAAAAAUAAAAUAGCUUCUAUAUUUGCCACAGCCACAUCAGAUCCGAGCCACAUCUGUGACCUACACCACAGCUCACAGCAACGCCAGAUCCUUAACCCACUGAGUGAGGCCAGGGAUUGAACCCGAAACCUCAUGGUUCCUAGUCAGAUUCGUUUCUGCUGAGCCACAAAGGGAACUCUUCUAUUUCUGUUUUUGAAUAUGCACACAAUCUUUGGAAAACUACACACCCAAACAAAAACCUGAUAAUUGACAGAAGGGAGGUCAUUACCUAAUAUUUAAAAGACCAUCAGUUUCAGAGAAAAAAAAAAGAAAACCUUUACCUUCUCCGGGCUCUCCACUUAAACUGACCAGUCUUCUUUUUGUUCUUCCCAUUUCCUAUUAUACUACUAAGACUCUUACUAGGUUUCAAGAAAGGUACAAGCCCAGGUUACCUCAGGAUGGUGACUGUCAACUAGGAAGCACACCGUGUAGGCUGACUUGCAGAGAAUUAAGAAUGAAACACGGCAGAGGAAAAAAGAGAUUGGGGGGGGAUCACUUCCUGAUCAUGUUCUAUCCUCCAGAUUCUAGUGCCCUUUGAGGCCCAACCUAUACUUCCUACUUUUGGAAUCUGUUAUAAAUGUCCUGUGACUUUAUAAUAAAUUUCCCCCUUUUCUGUUUCGAGUAACCUGUAUAGGUACUUCUUUUUACUGCGCAGUCUUGAGCCAAUAAUAAUGCUAAAAUCACUGACUACUCACUAUGCAUCAGGGUGCCUAGUAGUAGGCCCUACUCGGCAUAUUACAUAUAUUUAAUGCUCAAAAUUAAGAUUAUCCUUAUUUUGCACCAUAGGGGUACUCAGACCCAGAAAGAUCAAGUAACUUGUCCAAGUUCACACAUUUAGGCAGAACCAGAAUUUAAUCCUGGUGCUCUGACUCCAGCACUCAAGUUGGUAGUUGCCCUCAGUCAGGUAGUUUAUGCCCUUCCAUAGACACAAAGUAAACUUGGAGUCCAAUGGCAGAUGAUCUCAAUCCAAAUAAAAGAUUUCCUAUUGGUCUAAUUUCAGUCAUGAGAAAACUAAGGCAAAUGAUAAAAAUAAGUAUCCAGAUCCUUAACCCACCAAGCAAGGCCAGGGAUCGAACCCACAACCUCAUGGUUCCUAACCAGAUUCGUUUCCUCUGCACCACAAUGGGAACUCCCUGAACGUUAUUUUUUUCUUUUUUCCUUUACUUUUUAGGGCUUCACUUGCAGCAUAUGGAGGUUCCCAGGCUAGGGGUCGAACUGAAGCCGCAGCUGCCAGCCUACGUCACAGCCACAGCAAUGCUAGAUCCGAGCCUUGUCUGCCACCUACACCACAGCUUGCAGCAACGCCAGAUCCUUAACCUACCGAGUGAGGCCAGGGAUAGAACCCGCAUCCUCAUGGAUACUAGUUGGGUUCUUAAUCCACUAAGCUGAAACAGAAACUCUGGAACCUUAGAUUUUAAAGAGACAAAUAACCUAAAACAGUCACUUCUCCCCCGAGAACAAUGAGUUAGAGGAUUCAGAAAUAGACCCAAAUAUAUUAGGGAAUAUAACAAAGGUGGCAAUUCAAGUUGGUGGGGAAAAGAUGGCUUAUUCAAUAAAUGAUGCCAAGAUAACUAGUUAGGUAUCUGGAGACGAACCUAAAUUUAGUCACCAAAAUAAUUCCAACAGAACAAAACCAGGAGUUCCUGACAUGGUGCAAUAGGUUAGGAGUCUGACUGCAGUGGCUCGAGUCACUACAGAGGCAUGGGUUUGAUCCCUGGCCUAGUGCAGUGGGUUAAAGGAUCUGGCAUAGGUUGCAGCUGCAACUGGAUUCAAUCCCUAGCCUGGGAACUUCCACGUGGCAAGUAUGGCCAUAAAAUUUUUAAAAAACAAUCCCCCACUAAAACCAUGGGUGAAUUAUUUUCUAAAUAUUGGAAGUUAUGAAAAGCCAUUCAAGGCAUAAGAUACACAAACACUGAGAGAAAUAAUAAAUUUGACUACAUAAAGGUUAAAAACAUGUCCAUGCCCCCCACCCCCCAAAAAGCUACAAACAAGUGAACAAAAAAAAGACCCCUACAGGAGUUCCCGCUAUGGCGCAACAGGAAGCAUGAUGUCUCUGCUGCACCAGGAUGCGGGUUUGAUCCCUAGCCCAAUACAGUGGGUUAGAAGAUCUGGUGUUACUGCACUACAUCGUGGGUCACAACUGUGGCUUGGAUCUGAUCCCUGGCCCAGGAACUCCAUGUGCCGCGGGGCAGCCAAAAAAGAAAGAAAAACAAAAAAAAAACCCUGACUAAUGGGGGGAAAAUGCUUGCAACAUAAUUGAUAAAGGGGUAAUUUCCUUAACAUAUAAAGAAUCAAAUAGAUUAAUAAAAAUGAUCAAGAGCCCAAAAGCAAAUGGCAAAAAAUUAUUAAAGGCUAUUAUCAGGGAGGAAAAAAAAAGAAGUAAGAUGUAUAAACGUUAAGUGAAGGGACAUCAACGGCUUAAGGUCAUACAGCUCCUGCAUUCCUGUGUUGAGUAAGAACUCAAACCCCUGUGUCUGGCUCCAAAGUCUGUGGUAUGUUACACCACACUGCCCAGUGAACACAGCUCUUGGGGUUCCAUGGUUUGUUACAGUGGUUAAAGACCCCAAAGAUAAGCUGGAAGUUCUCGAGGAUAAGGUAUGCUAGAAAAAAGUCAGGGCCACUAAUCAGUUAAUUUUCUCAUAUUCAUUUCCUGUCUCUCACACCUCUAAAAUGAAAAUGAACCUAAGUUUCAGGGGAAAAGAUUGGAGUGUCAGCCAAGAAAGUGCGUAACAAAAAGGGGAUGGCAGCCCCUGCGAAUUGGGAGGUAGUCCCAGAAGGUCUGCCUUCUGCAGUUGCCAGGCAACAAAGGUAAACAGCAGAAAGUGGCAGGAUCAUGGCCACUAACUACAGCGCCAACCAGGCCAUCCCAAAACAGACAUAAGGAUGGAUUUGGCCCAUGGGCCACAAUUUGCUGACCUCUGGUCUAAACCAGCACUGCAAUAAAAAGAUAAUUAUGAAAAAGCUUUCUCACCCAGGUAUCUGCAGAACUGGUCUCUCGCCAAGCCAACAAAACAGAGGAUUUCUUCCCAUGAAGGCUACACUCAGAUUAUCGCCAAUGAUCGUGGUCAUCUGUUGCCUUCAGUGCCCCGCUCCAAGGCAAGUCCCUGGGGUUCAUUCAUGGGCACCUGGGAUAUGCCUCUGAAGGUACCCCCUGCUCGAGUGACCUUGACCUCCCGUACAGCUGCCGGUGCAGCCUCCCUCACCAAAUGGAUACAGAAAAAUCCCAAUUUACUGAAGGCCUCCAAUGGGCUGCGUCCUGAAAUCUUAGGCAAGCCCCACGAUCCAGACGGCCAGAGGAAAUUUGGGAAGUCUAUCAUAAAGACAGUACAACAAGCUCCAAGAUCAACCAUAAUCCCAAGCUCCCCAGGCUCAAAUCUCAAUUCCCCAGAUCAUCCCCAAAGCUCACAUCCCUCUGCAGGUCACACUCCAGGUCCCCAAAGCCCAGCCAACUCUCCAAAGACCUCACUUGGAAGCCCGUGUAUGCCUGAACACUGUGCAGGUCCUAAACUAGCUGAGGUCCAAAAAUGCCAACUUGGAACUCCAUAAGGGACUAAGGGACCACACUGAGAAAAGCUGUCUGGGGACUGAGUGACACCCGGUCGGGGAAAUUAUGGAUGGGAGUAAAGGCAAAUUUGGAAAAUUAACAUUGUUGAGUCUUUUACUGAUUUGGAUUUUUCCCUCUUGCUAUGGCUGCCUCUUGUAACCCAUAACUAGGAGGAGGGUUGAAGGAAAGAGUAGGGAGAAGAAAACAUUUUUACAAGGAUUGAGUCAAUUAUACUCCAGAAAUGACCAGGAGGAAAUUUGAGCAAAAGGAACAUCAAAUAACUAGUCCCUCACCCAUCUCAUUUUUCACCCUGAAUAUGAACUACAACUUCAAAGUUUGAGGUACAGUCAUUAGUAGAAUAUGUAUAUGCACAUUUGGAGGAGGCGGGGGGUGGGGGGGA